UACGGAGGAUGCGAGCGUUAUCCGGAUUUAUUGGGUUUAAAGGGUGCGUAGGCGGACUGUCAAGUCAGCGGUAAAAUUGAGAGGCUCAACCUCUUCCCGCCGUUGAAACUGGUGGUCUUGAGUGGAUGAGAAGUACGCGGAAUGCGUGGUGUAGCGGUGAGAUGCAUAGAUAUCACGCAGAACUCCGAUUGCGAAGGCAGCGUACCGGCAUCCAACUGACGCUGAGGCACGAAAGCGUGGGGAUCAAGCAGG
rnacentral:rRNA from 1 species